rnacentral:tRNA from 1 species
GGGGUUGUAGCUCUGUGGUUGAACAUUUACCUAGCAUGUAAAAGGCCCUGGGUUUGAUCCCCAGCACCA